CUCCUUUAUAUAAAACUAGUCAAUUAGUGAAUUUGGGAGAUUACUGCAUAAUUUAGCCAUGACACAGAUGGUUAAUUGAAUACUGUAGCAAAAUAUAUUUUCCUAACACUAUAGUGCCCUUGUAGCUGUUUAGGUGACCAGACCAGUUCUGCCAGGGCUACAAAAUGUAGUGAAACACGCCAUGCCGGUCUCCUCACUCAGGCUCCACCUCUUCGGCUGAGAUCUUCGAGUUUGAUCAUCUCAG